GCAGGCCACAAAAGCCCCACCUUCCAGCACCAAUAGGCUACCACCCAGACGCACCGUCUGUGAGGUCACCUGCGCUACCCGGAAACACUUCCCGCGACUCUGGAAGCUAUUACGGCUUCCAAUCGCCAAGCUGCUGGGACGGGGGCUCCGGUACGCGGCCGAGACGGUCGGCUUCUGUCUUCUGUGCUCCGAAUCCCCAGGCGCUAGUGCCGCUGUCCCGGGUCGGAACCUACUCUCCUUCCGGUCGCUCCCGGCUGCCCCCCCCCGGGACAGCCGCAACAGACCGGGUGCCCAAGAGGACCCCGCCUCCCUAAGGGGGUGUGGCCGAGGGGAGGGUCCCAUCCCUGUGACGUCAGACGCAGGCCCUCAGACUCCACCUCCCCUUUGGGACGCGUAACCUCUCUAGGACUCCGGAGGACCAACCCCCCACCUCUGUGGUCUUAACCCUUCUAUUCCCAGGGGCCAAGAUUCCGAGCCUGGGCUAAGGAUGGGAGGCGGUCCGCUGGCACCGGGUUGGCGGGAACCUGAUCCGGAGAAGGAACGUGCGUGAGAGCGAGCGCAGGCGACUGACAGAGGAACCGACAGCAGACGGAGGGAGAGUUCUCCCUAGGACCAGACCGGUACGCCUUCGUGUCUCAGGACCAGAAUUCUCUUUAGCCAAGUAGGAUAGGUGCUCUCUGAGAGAAGAGUUGUUUCUGUCCGACGCCUCAUCUCUUCGGGAUCAGAAUUGCUGUCGGACAGUCUGGUGAUGUGCACCCAGCAAGCGCCCGUGGGAUCCUUCUGAACGGAAGAAAUUCUGCUCUCUGUCAGCCUGUGCUGUUAGGUGUCCCCAGGAAACCCACGCGUCUUCUGCGGACAGACCUGGCUCGAGAACAGGUACGUUUAUUGGAUUCCGAACUUGUGGUCGCAUCAGGGAGCGCGGCAGCUCACCUGACCCUGCCAGGCUUGUCUCCCAGCCGGAGGGUCGAAGGAAGGGCUUUUCCUCCUGAAGGUCAAAGGUCUAAAUUCAGACAGUCAUUUGGGGUGUGUUUAGCAAGGGUAACGUGGCAUUCCACGUUUAUUGACCCUUUACCAGGUAUCAGGCAGUAUUCUCCAUGUGUCUCUCUAUCCCCUGAUCUAAUCCCCUCUCACAGACCCCUCGUUUUGCAAGGUUUCCGUGCUCAUUGCCAAGGCGAGAAAGUGGAAUACGGAGAGGUUGGGGGACCCGCUCUGAGUCACACAGGCCAUCAGAGGAGGAGGGACACCCAGACGUAUGCAUCCAGGACUCAGAGCCCACACACUUGACUUUUGAAGUUAAAGUUGACAUGGGGUACUAUAUUCCUUUUAGGUGCACAGAAAGGUGCACAGUGUGUUUAUACAUUAUGAAAUGAGGACCACGAUGAGUAUGGCCACCAUCUGUCACCAUGCAGACUUAUCACAAUAUUGUGGACUCUCUCUCCCGCAUUGUAUGUUCCGUUCCCCUGAUUUAUGUAGUUUAUGACUGGAAGUCUGUAUCUCUUAACCCCCUUCCCCUCUGGCAGCCACCGGUUAGUUAGAUAUGGAAGUACCUCUGACUCUGUUUCCGCUUUGUUCUCUGUGUUCGCUUGAUUUAUUUUUGAGGUUCCAUAUGGAAGUGUAAUCAUGUGCUAUAUGGCUUUCCUCCCUGUCUGACUUAUUUCCCUUAGCAUAAUGCCCUCUAGGUCCUUCCGUGUUGCUGCGAAUGGCAUGAUGUCAUUCUUUUUUUACGGCUGAGGAACAUUCCAUCAUGUAUAUGUACACACACGCACGAACGCACAACACUUUUUUGUCCAUUCAUCCAUCAGUAGGCACUUAGGUUGCUGCUAUAUCUUGGCUCUUGUGAAUAAUGCUGCAGUGAACAGAGGAGUACAUAUAUCUUUUCUGAUUUCUUAUUUGUUGUUGUUGUUUUGUUUUGUUUUCUUUAGAUAAACACCAAGAAGCAGAACUGCUGGAUCAUAUGGUAGUUCUAGUUUUUCUCUGUCGAGGAAACCCCAUACUAUUCUCUACAGUGUCUACACCAAUUUAUAUUCCCACCAACAGUGCAUGACGGCUCCCUUUUUUCCUCAUCCUCGCCAAGAUUUCCCCUUCGUUGUCUGCUUCAAUAAUAGCCAGUUAAUAGGCAGGAGGAAAUAUCUCGUUGUGGUCUUGACUUUUCUUUUCCCUGAUGAUUAGUGGUGUUGUGCAUCUUUUAAUGGGCCUGUUGGCCAUCAGUAGAUCUUCUUUGGAAAAAUGUCUAUCAGGGUUUGGGCCCAUUUUUGGUCUGUUUUUUGUUUUGUUUUGUUUCGGCCUUUGCUAGGGCCACUCCCACAACAUAUGGAGGUUCCCAGGCUAGGGGUCGAAUCGGAGCUGUGGCCGCCGGCCUACGCCACAGCCACAGCAACGUGGGAUCCGAGCCUCGUCUGCCACCUACAGCACAGCUCAUGGCAACGCCGGGUCCUGAACCCACUGAGCAAGGCCGGGGAUUGAACCCGCAACCUCGUGGUUCCUAGUCAGAUUCGGUAACCGCUGAGCUACGACGGGAACUCCCCUUUUUGUAUUUUUUUUUUCUUUUUAUAUAGAGUUCUAUGAGUCUUUAUAAAUUUUGAAUAUCUGUCUCUUUCUAGAUAUAUCCUUUGCAAAUAUCUCCUCCCUUUCAGCAGGAUGCCUUUCUGUUCUGUUGAUGGUUUCCCUGGCUGGGUAAAAGCAUUUUAGUUUCACGUGGUCCCAUUUGCUUAUCUGCUUCUGUUGCCCUUGCCUGAGGAGACCCAUCCCAAAAAUAUAUCGCAGAGACCUACGUCAAAGAACAUAAGGGCUCUGAGUUCCCCUAGGGGUUUUUUUCAUUUCAAGUCCUACAUUAGUCUUUAAUCCAUUUUUGGUUGACUUUUGCAUAUUGUGUAAGGAAGUGGUCCAGUUUUCCCAGCACCAUGUGUUGAAGAGAUUGCCGUUUCCCUGUUGUAUGUUCUUGGCUCUGUUGUCAUCCAUUAAUAGGCCAUGCAGGUGUGAGUUUGUUUCUGUCACAGCCCACACUCUUGACCAUCACCGAGCAAGCAUACCCGCCCUUAAGGCUGGAGUGAAGUGGGAGGAGCCGGUGACUGCAGUGUACCUACCCAGCUGGCGGCACCCCAUCCGGGUAAGACACAUCACAGGACCCUGCCCACAGUGCACUGGGGCAGGGGUGACCAUCCCCACCCGGCACAAGUUCACCAGGGUGGUGAUGUGAUGGGUUCGCUCCAGCAGCCAACCCAGAUCAGUCCUGCCAACCACAGUCAGUCGUUUAGCCAAUCAUGAAGGUUUUCACUGUGUCCCUUCCAUGCCCACUCCGUGCCAGGCUGGCUGGCUGGUGAGCAGGAGUUGCAGAGCCAGUCACCGCCAUCAGGAGCCGAGUCUUUAAUCAGACAGAGAGCUAACACCCACCUAUGUCGUGGAUUCUGGGCCGCAAUCUGAGCCACGGGCACCCAGAGGCCAGAAAAUAGUGACGGGGAGUCGGCUUAGGGUGUGAUGGCCAAAUAGCAAAUCUGAAUGUACCUAUAGCAAGUAAAGGUAUUAAAUCAUUAAGUGGAAAACCUUCCGACAAAGGGAAGUCCUGGGUCCGCUUACUUCAUUGCUGAAGUCUAUCAAAUGUUUAUGGAAGAAACAAUGCCCAUGUGUCACAGACUCAUCCUGAAUAUAAAGGACAAGGGACUAUUUCCUGCCGAACUCAUCCUAUGGGGACAGUUUUACCCUGCCACCAACACCACAAGCAACCUUUAGACUGCUAUCUAUCAGUAAUAGCAAUACACGGAUCAUCAACCAAAUAUCAGCAAAUCAGGGAGUUCCCAUUGUAGUUCAGUGGGUUACAAACCCGACUAGCAUCCAUGAUGCGGGUUCGAUCCCUGGCCUCGCUCAGUGGGUUAAAGGAUCCAGCAUUGCCGUGAGCUGUGGUGUAGGUCCCAGACUUGGCUCAGAUCUGGCGUGGCUGUGAGCUGUGGCAUAGGCCGGCAGCGGUAGCUCCGAUUUGACCCCUAGCUUGGGAACUUCCAUAUGUCCCAGGUGCAGCCCUACACAGAAAAAAAAGAAAGAGAAAGAAAGAAAGGAAGAAAGAAGGAAGGAAGGAAGGAAGGAAGGAAGGAAGGAAGGAAGGAAGGAAGGAAGGAAAGAAAAAGAAAAUAGCAAAUCCAGCAACAUUUGCAAAGGGCUGUGAAACAUAACUAAUCGAGGUUUAUCCAGGAUUGCAAUGUUGGAAUAACAGUCAACCUCAGUUAAGGUAAACAGCAUAUUAACAUGGUAAAGGACAAAAACCACCUGUCAUCAUCUCCAUAGACAAAGCAAAAGCAUUUGACACAAUUCAAAACCCAUUCAUGGUGACGACAGUCAGGCAACUUGGAAUAGAAGGGAGCUUCCUCAUUCUGACGUGGGACAUCCUCAAGAAACAUCGGCUCUGUCGCUUCAUAUUUAGCACCGUGAGAAUGAAUGCUUUCCCCUUGAGAUCUAGGACGAGGCAAGGCUGUCUGCUCCAGCCACUUCUAUCCAGCUUUGACGGAAGGUUCCAGCUGGAGGAUCAUGCAAAACCAGAAAUGAAAUCAUCAAGAAGUUAGGAAUUCCCAUUGUGGCUCAGUGGCAAGGAACCCGACUAGUAUCCAUGAGGACGAGGGUUCAAUCCCUGGCCCCGCUCAGCGGGUUAAAGGUCCGGCAUUGCUGUGAGCCGUGGUAUAGGUUGCAAACGUGACUCAGAUCAUACGUUGCUUUGGCUGUGGUGUAGGCCGGCAGCUGCAACUCCAGUUCGACUCCUGGCCUGGGAACGUCCAUAUGCUGUAGGUGUGACCCUAAAGAGGAAAAAAGAAAAAAGAAAAUACAUCAUGGAGAAAUUAAAAAGGAAACCCACGUGCAUGCAAAUAUGUGUCCUUAGAUGUUCACAGCAGCAUUGACUGUAAUCUCCCCAAGGUGGAAACCCUCUCAAGGUCUGUCAACUUGUGCAUGGGAACAAAAUGUGCCAUGCCCAUACAGUAGAAUCGCACCGAUGGAUAGAAAGGGGCAAACUUCCGGUUGCUGCUACAACAUGGGUGAGCCUCCAAAGCACUAUGCUAAGCGAAAGAACCCAGAUGCAAAAGGCCACUUACUGCAGGAGUCAACUUACAUGACAUACCCAGAAAGGGCAGAUCAACCGACCCAGAAAUUAGAUUAGAGGAUACUUGGGCCUGGAGGUACUAAGGGGAGUUGACCGCUAAGGGGUACAGGGGACUCUUUCGGGGGUGCUGGCAAUGUCCCACAGCUGGGUUGUGGCGAUGGUUGCACAACUGUGUAAAUUUGCUGAAAGUCACUGCAUUGGUCCCAUUGCGUGGGUGUGGUUUGUGGUAAGUAACUUAUUCCUCAGUAAAGCUGUUUAGGAAAUGUAAUGCCAGUGUCCAAGUCAGUCAUGCAGGAAAAGAUAUGCCAGUGAUGUUGUGACAAUAAGGAUCCCCCCCUCUUUCCAUGUUCUGGGUCCUGCCUCCACCAUGUGUGCUAGACGCUCCCUCCAGAUGGAGCCACUGGGCCAACGGGACAGAAUUGCUGGGGGAGCGCACAUGGACUCGUGUGUCUGUGUGUGUUCAUCCGCAGGCACCCUUUGUGUGAGCACAGUUCAGUGGCUCACGGCAGGCUCCCACAGUUCAUCCUUGGUCUGAAAUUCCACCUAGGAGCUUUUCCAUUCUUCUCCAAUCCCAGGGCCCCAGCGUCCGUUUCCCUGGGAACCGAUCUCAGCCCUCAGCUCCACCCUCUGGUCACAGGAAGACUUGCAGUGUGUAGAGGGGGUUGUGUGUCCACCCCCCCCCCCACCCCACCCCAUAAGGGCCCCGGCUGAGCUCAGCAACUCAGGCGGGGGUUACACAGCAGGGC
rnacentral:lncRNA from 9 species